CAGAAACUCAGAAGGGACUGGCACAAGAGCAUAUUCUGCAAAGCGGCAGAUGGACAUAAGUCUUUGGGGGAGCAAAUUGCUGUGGCAGAAAUCCUGGGCCUUGACCUUUCAGGGAUUGUACUCAGAGAAGGUACAUUAAAGCUGGAAGACCAAUUGGACUUAAAUAGUCCAUGACUUUCGUGCUAUGGACAAGAGAGCUGAGACCAGCCUGGGUUAAGAGGCACAGUGACCAUGAAACAGAUGUAACUGCUUAUGAUCUGAACUCCAGCACUGCCUUAUAAUUCAAGAAUCCUGAAGAUCCAUAAGAAAUCUGAUGCAUGCCCUCUGAUUCUUGUUCAUUGGUAGGUAAUUUGGUUUUGUUUUUUCCCCCUCUCUCUGGUCUUCUGAACCUCCAUGGAUAUAUGUGGGUUUUCAUUUCAUUUAUUGUCCUUGCCAUUCAGUGGUAUCUUUCAGUGUUACCCUUCACGUGUGGGAAUUAUCUUCUCUAUAUAUAUACUCUUUACAAUUCCCUCCUGUGAUGAUUUCUGUAAACUUACUAUUUAAAAAAUUCCUUUUAGUCUAUUGUUGGACAUCCAGA